ACGUUAGAGUGCACGCAGUGCCCAGAGAGUAACAGUAAAUCAGACAGAGCUGCUCCUCCAGCUUCCAGCAGUGAAACUUUAACCCUGUAACGAGUAUUUUUGGCCGCUGAUAGGGACCGAAGUGAGAUCACUGCGGUCUCUUUCUCUCGGAUAGAUCUGAAGAGUUGUUCGGCAGGAGCGACGCAGGGACCGUUUUUCUUCCCCCGGGCUCAUUUCUGCUAUAUCUCUCAUUUCAUAUCACACUGGAAAUGUCCGAAAACAAGCCGAAUGAUGAGCCGAAGUUAUCUACGACGGACAGGGUGGUGAAAUCUGUCCCGUUUCCCCCAAGCCACCGGCUGACAGCUAAAGAGGUGUUUGACAGCGAUGGGAAGCCCAAAGUGGACGUUCUGAAGGCUCACCUAACCAAGGAGGGCCGGGUGGAGGAGUCAGUGGCCCUCAGGCUCAUAGGAGAGGGAGCCUCCAUCCUACGUUCAGAGAAGAACCUGCUGGACAUUGAGGCCCCCGUGACAGUGUGUGGAGAUAUCCAUGGGCAGUUCUUUGACCUAAUGAAGCUGUUUGAAGUAGGAGGAUCACCAGCAUCCACGCGCUACCUUUUCCUUGGGGACUACGUUGACAGAGGGUAUUUCAGUAUUGAAUGUGUGCUGUACUUGUGGGCCUUAAAGAUUCUUUACCCAAAAACACUGUUUUUGCUGCGUGGGAACCAUGAAUGUCGACAUUUAACAGAGUAUUUCACAUUUAAGCAGGAGUGUAGAAUUAAGUAUUCAGAGAGGGUGUAUGACGCAUGUAUGGACGCCUUCGACUGCCUUCCCCUGGCUGCACUAAUGAACCAGCAGUUCCUGUGUGUACACGGAGGACUUUCUCCAGAAAUCACAAAUCUUGAUGACAUCAGGAAACUAGACAGAUUCAAAGAGCCCCCAGCAUACGGCCCAAUGUGUGAUCUGCUGUGGUCCGACCCGCUGGAGGACUUCGGAAAUGAGAAGAGCCAAGAGCACUUCACACACAACACAGUGAGAGGCUGUUCCUAUUUCUACAGCUACCCUGCAGUCUGUGACUUUCUACAACACAAUAACUUAUUAUCCAUCAUCCGGGCCCACGAAGCACAGGAUGCUGGAUAUCGCAUGUACAGAAAGAGUCAGACCACUGGCUUCCCGUCUCUUAUCACCAUCUUCUCAGCUCCAAACUAUCUAGACGUCUACAACAACAAAGCGGCCGUGCUGAAGUAUGAGAACAACGUGAUGAACAUCCGACAGUUCAAUUGCUCACCUCACCCUUACUGGCUGCCCAACUUCAUGGAUGUGUUCACCUGGUCUUUGCCCUUUGUUGGUGAGAAAGUGACAGAGAUGCUUGUGAACGUUCUGAGCAUUUGUUCCAACGAUGAGCUGACGACUGAUGAAGAGCUGGACGGACAGCUAAUAUAUCCCCCCAAAAAAGGUGCCACAGCCUCUGCUCGUAAAGAAGUAAUCCGUAACAAGAUCCGUGCCAUUGGGAAGAUGGCCAGGGUAUUCUCAGUGCUCAGAGAGGAGAGUGAGAGUGUGUUGACGCUGAAGGGACUGACCCCGACAGGCAUGCUACCAAGCGGAGUGUUGUCCGGCGGCAAAGAAAAGCUUCAGAAUGAAACUGCAGGUAUAAUCGAUUGUUGUGCAAGUAUUCUCUUUUAUCUUUUUAUUUAGCCACAGUAAAUCGUUUUCUUUUUUUGUGUGAUUAUUUUUUUAUCGUUCAGCUCACCCUCUUGAUUCCAAAAACUCCCUGAGUGAGUUUGACAAGCUGCUGCAGACCUUUCCAGGAGCAUUUCACGUCUGGUUUGCCAUCUUAUCUGAUUUAGGAAGCUGGUUGUGAAAACUAGAAGUCCAGAUCCAGUUCUUCUCACGGUUCUUGAACAACAUCAGCUUCCAUUUUCCAGGGUAUACAUCACAUGCCUCUUCAUGCUUGACUUCUUAGAUCAAUCAACAAUAAAAGUUUCAAACAUUAUGAUUACAUUUUGAACAUUUAUUUUUUCUUAAAUUUGCUUCUUAGGCAGUCAAACUUCCUGGUUAGGGACGCUUAACUUUAAUUAUUAAGUUUAGUUUAUUUACUGUGUUUCAAACACUCUUUUAUUAAUCCAGUUAAGUGAAAGCAGCUCUGUGCACUGUUCUGACUCUCUUUACCUACAAUAAUUAAAAACCAGGGUAUCUGCAGGGUCUUAAACUAUUCAAAUUUGAUCAAUUGAUUUAAGGAAACUUAAGACCCUUAGAAAGUACUAUAUUGGUGAAGUCUUAAAUUUUGUUAUUAUUGAAAUACAUGAAUGAAAAGCAGGAGAGCUGGUUUAUUAAGUGCAAAAAAAGGGAAAAAAACGUCUCUACACCUUAUGUGUCUCUGUCAGAGUAGCCCUACACAUUUAAAAGCUUGAGCUGUCUCAUGUGUACCCUGGAACCUUGGUCCUGAUGUUUUUAGACCCUGUGAGCAGAGAGAGGAACGAUAAUGUCUCUUUAGGUACGCGUCUUGAGUGGCAGGUUAACACCUUUAGAUGAUGCACUGGCCAGCAGCCAGUCUGAUAUGACAGGUAAAACUCUGCACCUUUGGGGAAACAAAUGAAAACAGUUCAAAUAAAGCAACCUUCCCCCUUUAAAUACAGCAGCAUGGUUUGUAUGUCUGUUGAACCCCUGAUCUUUCCCAGGAGCUUUAGCGCAUCUGUACAAAUCUUUUGUCCCUCGUCUGACAUUACGUUUCUUCAAGAUUGUUGCUAAUAAAAUGGAUUUGUUCUUAACUCGGUUUAACUCCAGUGAAAGUAGAAGGAGGCUGAGAUUACUGCUGCAACUUUAGUGGAAUCAGAUUUCUCCUUUUGUUUUAACAAACAUCAGUGUGUUUUCUCCGUGACGUAGUCUCCAUCUGCCACACCGUUCAAAGUCUCAGGUGUUUCUGUUGUGGUGACCCCCCUCUCAUCGUGGCCAUGUAUCAUGUGGUCCUCUGUAUCGUCACGACAACUGAGUUUUUGUGUGAAGCUGGUUUUCUGGAGGUUGUUUGUGUGUCUAGAAUCUCCAGGGUUUUGGUAAGUGUGAAAGGUCUCCCUCCCCCGCCCCAGAAAUCAGCCAAAGUAAGGCGGCACUUUUGAUAUGUUUAAUAUCAAAAGAUGCUUAACGUGCAAGAUUGAUGUCGCACACAGCAGUAACCAUGUUCCAUGUGUCCACAGUGCUGGUGGUUUACAUUGAGUAGAAGUUUUGAAAACCCACAUUUUCCAAAACCAUAUUGUUCCUCAUUUAUUCCUUUUCCAGCUUUGCUUUCAUCACAGAUGCUUUUAAACAGUUUUUUCUACCAUUAUUGUGUCAGAUUUGCUAUAAAUGUUGAUUCAUCUCACAUUCGCUCUCUUGUUAGACUUAAAGAACAGAACUGCAGCCCUCUCCACUAGGAAUGAAGCAGUUACUUGGUUUAAUGGUUACUGUGGCAACAUCUUCUAUAGCUGCACAAAUUGACCAUAAAAUUAUAUUCUGUGCAUAUAUAAGUACUUCAGUGGAAAAGGAAAAAUACAUGUUUAAGGUUUUUUAAAUGAUGUAAAAUUUUAAGUCUGCUCAUAAAAAGUCAACAGUCUAAAUGACUGUUGACUGUUGACAGACUUUAAUAAAUCACAUUAAAUAUAUACUCCUACUAUUUAUUAAAGAAAUAUAUACUAACAACUAGGGAUGUAAGGAAAUAUUGAUAUGGUGAAAUAUUGCGAUAUUUUGUGUUAUGAUAUUGAAUAGAUCAUUAAAAGCAGUGUAUCAUUUUUUAUUGAGAAUUUACACGCAAACAUUUAUGUAUUUUUCUUGUGAGGUGCAGUUCAAACUCUAGGUGGCGGCAGUUCUUACUGGCUUCAUUCUGGUGGAACAACAGAAUGUGUCUUGGAAGUGUUUGGCCUGAGUUUCCCAUUAAUUUAUUUCUUAAAAAUUACCAAACUCUUCUGACAUUUAGUAUCAUCUAUAGGGAGCCUAAGUCACACCCAUCUACUUUGGAACCAUGGGUUCCCGGAAGAAGGAAAAAAUGAAUGCAAGUCAGUGGGGCUAAAAAUGCUAUUUUCUAACCCGUUUGUUAUGUGCCAUGGAUUUUACAUAUGAUGUCUGGGAAUUUUAAAGACAUUCUGAUGCCAAGAAAGAGCUUAUUUUGAAUAGGGGCAAAAGUUAUAAUAGGUUUUGUGUGAAUAGAUGUCCAGUACUACAAAUGCACAUUACCAAGUUGACGUCAUCGAACCAGACACGGACCACCAUAAAUCUGGCCAUGUGGUAAGUAGCAGCUACGCUAGGGGAGGGGAGGGUAUGGUCUGUAGCGAAGGCAUAAAUGCGACGUACCGACGCCAAAGCUGUAGUCAUAGGAAUUACAAACUUUUACAAGCUGAUAAAUCUCAAAGUACGUGACCGGCGUGCUCGAAACACCCAUCAUCACUUUUCAUUUAAAUUGCAGUACAACAUAUGUGUGAUCCAGGGCCUAAGGCAAAGGGGAUUAGAAAAUAGCAUUUUUAGCCCCGUUGAAUUGCAUUUAUUUUUUUUGUUCUUCCGGGGACCCAUGAGCUGACCGGAAAGGGAGGAGACUUAGGCUCCCUAUAUAUCGUAUUAUCUCCCCUGUAUUGUGACACAAAUAUCAUGCUUGCUUAGUAUGAGGAUUGCUGUAAUGACUCUGACACUAGUCAGUGACUCGAUGCGAUCUGCUGGGUUCCUUAAAUAGGAAACUUUAUACUGAUUGGCUUAAGGAGCUGAACUGUAUGGGAAUGUUUACUUUGUGAAGUGCCUUGAGAUGACUCUUGUCAUGAUUUGGCGCUAUAGAAAUAAACUAAUUGAAUUGAACUGAAAUGGUAUCACCAGAUUCUUGCCUAUAAAACCCAGUAAUAUUGCUGGUUCAUAGAAGUAACUUUACCAUGAGCAUCUCAGUAGUAAUCCUGAUAAAUCUCAGUAAUCAUGACAGUUUAAAACCGCUUCAUCCCUACACUCUGAGAGGUUUGCUGCCACAACAUCUCUUUUCCUUUCUUUUGCUAACAUCCUCCUUUUCUUUUUGUCCAUAAAAUGUGGAGAUGACCUUUUUGUUGUGGGUAUUGGCUAUCUCUUGCUGCUCACUGACUUGGGACCGAAUAAACUCCUCUUGCUCACUUCUCUCAUUCAUUUUGCAACCCCCCUCUUCUUCUCUUCAGCUACUAUUGAAGCUAUUGAGGCUGAUGAAGCCAUCAAAGGCUUCUCGCCUCAGCACAAGAUCACGAGCUUCGAGGAAGCCAAGGGCCUGGACCGCAUCAACGAGAGGAUGCCUCCGCGGCGGGAUGCCUUGCCAAUGGAUGCCAGCCUCAACUCGUUCAACAAGGCGCUGUCGUCGGAGACCAACGGCACGGACGCCAAGGGCAGCACCAGUGGUGGCGGCAUCCAGUGAAGAUCGGCGGUGGCGGCAGGGCUGCCUGGUCCCCACCCCAUCAUGGCUUGCCACAGGAAAGGGGCAAGGGCUGAAGUGUGGAUGAGGGGGGAGGGGGGCAUCUCACAUGUUAGUCUUUGGAAAUGCCUUUAAGAUCUUAGUUCCUUGUCCAAUCUAAGUAGUUGCCAGGCCCUGUUUUUGACCGGCUCGAGCUCUAAAUAGGUCUGACAGUGCCCCACCCCAUAGUACGUCACAGCUCUCUCUCCCUUUCUCGCUCCCACUCUCUCUGUCUCCCUCUCUCCUAACAGACCCUCCCUCAUUGACGCCCAAACGGAAACUCCUUACUAACUCUUGUACGUUUACAGAUACGCAGCACUAAAAGGAUCAUGUUUUUAACAUAAAAGGGUGUACAAACUAAAUAAGGACUAUUUAUUGAUGAUGACUUUGUUUUAUUUUGUUACUCUUAUGAAAUAGGUCUGACGUUACUUAGGCAGUCUUAAAGAGAAUGUUGUGGAAAUGCCAAAUAAUGGAAGGUUUUAUGGUUUUGUACAUAUUCUGCUUACCUCAGGUUCCUUUGGUGUGUGCUUUGGCCUGAUUUAUUUCUGUAUAAUGGUUAAAUAACUCGCUGAUGAAUACCUAUUUUCUUGAGUUUCAUAACUGGAAUUUACACUUCCCUAUCUAUCAUUUGCAAAUAUGUUUAUUUUUUGUCUCUUUUGAGAAAUGGGGAGGGGGGGUAGAUUUAUUGUGGCUUGCUGGAAUUGAGUGUUAAUUUUUCUCUUUUUAAGUAUUGCGAACAAAGUAAAAAUAGAGAAGCUAUAUUGUGUAAAAAAAAGAGUAUAAUAAAGUGUCUGCCUAUGCAUGUUUUAUAAAAAUCAAAGAAACGAGAACAUCUGAAUACCUUUUGGCUGUGGAGCCCUGUUUUGAGAUAUAUUGCGCUUUAGUGAACAUAUACUGGAAACUUGCAUACUUUCAAUUAACACCAUGAUGCUCUAUGCCUUCAACUCCUUUUGUAAUUGAAGCAUUUAUUGAUCUAAGAGGGAUGACGACUCAUGUUUUUAACCUGCGCUUGUAAGUGCACACAGUCCAGUUUAAGCAUGUUUGACAAUUCUUGUGAGGUGUGUGGUUACACGUGGAACUCCAAAAUGCAUGACUAGCUGUUUGUGUCAUAUACCAGGUGAAUACGUUUUUGUUUUGUAAAUGUGCCACAGAAAAGUGUAAUUUGAUUCCUAUUAUUAUUAUUAUUAUUAUUAUUAUUAUCAUCAUUUGGAACUCUGAUUUGUAUAUCAGUUACAGGUUUGAUACUGCUCAAUACUUUAAGAUGAAACAAGAGAAAAAUACUUAGGUCUUUUUUAAGAACUGCUUUAAGUGCCCAAGUAAUUCACUACACGACAUGAAGCCUUGCUUUUGUAAUUUAACUUCAAACCUGUUGGCAGAUGAGGCAUGCACUUGCAACUAUGAGAAGUAUUUUAUAUAACUGUUCAAUAAAAAUGUGCAUGAAUUUCA